AUGGACUAGUAGAGAAUUUUUUGGUUUGUUUAAUUUCUCAUCUCAUUUUUUCAUAUACUGAUUUGGAAGUUUUAUAGUUUAUUUCUAUACUCUUAAAAAGUUAUUCUUUAAACUUUAUUGAUAUAUUUAACUGAAAACAGCUAGAGUAUAUCAGCACCUUUAUCCUUCUCCCAAAUCAUUAAAGAGCCUUAGAAUGUUUUAAAUCUGCUCAUGCCAUUCCCAGCUUGUUUUCUCUUUAACAGUAUUUUAGGUUUUAUUUGUUCUAUUUUAAACACUAUAAACUGGAUACUAUCAAUAGCACUUAUGUUCACAUUUUCACUCAUUUUUAGGGUUAGGGUGAGUCUUCCAUUCUUAGGCAAAUACUAGGAAAAACAUUGCCUUGGGCAAUACCAUGAAGGAGCCAAUGGAUUGCAAUAACAUGACACCACAUUCCAAACACUGGAAUUUGCAUUUGCAAUAAAAAUUGUAAAUGACCAUUUUCCUCAAUUCUAUUUCUAAUGCGUUGGUCCUUAGAUGAUUAAAUUUGUCACUUCUCAGGAAUAACUGGUCAGGGUUUAAUUGAGGACAGUGUGAAAGAACAUCCUAUUACUCAGUGAACAAAUAGUUUUCUGGGGAGGUUUAAAGGAAAAGAAAAUGGAAGCAAUUCUGGAGGGGAAAAGAAAAACUAUCUUUUCUCAAGGGACCAAGGUUGGGAUAUGGCUGAUCUUCCAGAGUCUGAACAAGCAUAGAGUUGGGAGAAGAUAGUGGAGCAGUGAAAUAUAGAGAUGCUAAGGGAGCUAAGUUAGGAAAUGAUCUCACACCUGGGGAAAAUCUUGUAGACUCAAGCAAGAAGACCUCAAUUUUCCUUUUUUGAUUUGGAGACUUUGUGAAGGGUGAUAGUUGUAUGAAAACACAUGAAAAAACCAACCUUUUAUUUGAAUUCUGGAGUUAUAAGAUUCAUCAUAGUUUGUGUUAACUGAAGUUCUUUUUUUUUUUUUUUUUUUUUUUUUUUUUUUUUUUUUNGAGCUCCUGGGAAGUUCCAUGUGCCAUGGGUGCGGCCCUGAAAAGACAAAAAAAAAAAAAAAAGCCAAAAAACAAAACAAACAAACAAACAAAAAUACUGACUGAAUGCACACUGCCCACCUGGCAGUUUCAGACCAGGAUGAUGAGCAGACCUGAGAGCCUGCAGCUUUCCCAUGCUCAGGGACUGGGGAGGGAGACAGCCAUGACCUUAGUUGCAGGACCACUUCCCCCAGUGCCCUGAAAAGAGGCCAGCUGCUCGGAGAGCAGGACCCAGCAUUGGCUGUGCACAGACAGGCCAGGAAGUCAGAGAGGGAGGCCUUCCACAAAACCAAUGAGAAUGAAUAGAGCCAGGGAGGGGAGUACUCCAGGAGCUGGGAUGGGAGCCUGGGAGCCAUUCUAAGCUGUGGAGUGAUGAGCUCACACUUCAGUGUUACUCUCUUCCCCAAAUGGAGGAUGAGAGGAGAGGUGGUCAGCUCAGAGCAUGGGGAUGGGGUGGGAAGGUAGAAGAGGUGGAGAUAAGGGACACUGAGGGGGUAAAAUGAGCAGACCCAGACUCAGGAGGAGAGGGGAGGGCCAAGGAGGCUCCAGGAAGAUGCAGAUUCACCUGCAUCACUGAGCCUGCUCCUCCACACUUAGCUUCUCACUUGACCAUCAGCUGGCCAUGAAGGCUUCAGGCAUGGUUUAUAGAGGAAAAGCUUUCUGAGUUCAUGAAUAUGUGAAAAUCUUUUCUUGCAUUCAUAUUGACACAGAGCUGUGCUAUGGCAGAGGAAAGGCUAAAAUUAGCCCAGCUUUUAUAGAGAAUUCUUUUCCCUAAUUUUAAUGCUAGGGUGCUCAUAAGAUUUAAUUUUUAUGCAAUUUAUCCUUGGUUUUUCUAAAGUUAACAGAAGGGUUUUCCACUAAUUUUUUUUUUUUCUUUUCUAAUCUAGUGGAUACACCUCCCUCUAAUUAUCAAGGUAAUGGCUAAUUUCCAGGGUCCCCAGAAUCUCCUCCAGAGACACACAGUGUACUUUAUUUCCCUCUUCAUUCACCUUAGAGUGAGCAUGGCACACAGGGCACACCUCCUAGGCGUAGAGUAACCAAAACGUGUUUGUGUACAAGUUAUCUAGUGCUAUGUGACAAAUGUCCCCACAGUCAGUGACUUAAAACAACUAUUUUUUUCAAUGCUCUCAGACUGGCCCAGGAGCUCAGACAGGGCGCUGUGAGAAUGGCUUGUCCCUGCUGAGUCUUCUCCACCGGAUGGCCUGAGUCUGUCAACUGAAGCACCUGCAGGAGGCCUUUCUGUGUGCUUCUCACAUGGGGACAGCUCUGUUCCCCAAGGGAGUGUCCCACGAGAAAGCCUUCCAAGAGGUCCUUUGUGACUCGGCCUUGAAAGUGACACAGCUCCCCUCCUGCCAUAUCCUAUGGUAGGAACAGUCAAAACCCACCCAGAGCAAGGAGAGGGUUCAAAGACCCCACUUCUCCAUAGAGAAAUGUCAUGGAAUUAGGGGGUGAACUGUAAAACUACCACAGGUGGGCACUGGCCCGAUAUGACCUCCGCUCAUUGUGCAGCUAAAUCCCAAAACAACUCACCACUUUGUGUCCCACUUCCUGUGGGGCUUGAGGUCGGUCUCAGCCCCUCCCCAGACCAGCCUUUCAGCAGCCGGGGUCCUUCCUCCUUCAUCUGUGGUGCAUGGAGUAGGGACAGAGUGGAGGAAAGCGUCAGCUACAUGCCCCCACUCCAGGCUCAC
rnacentral:lncRNA from 1 species